GGGUCAGUAGGUUGGUCGUGCCACCGGUACGUACUGGUCUCACUGAUUCCUCCUUCCUGAAGAACCGUAAUGCCAUUAAUUUGGUGUUGCGGGGAAACAGGACUGUUACUUUGAAAAAAUUAGAGUGUUUAAAGCAAGCUAGCGCUUGAAUACAUUGGCAUGGAAUAAUGAAAUAGGACGAUCGAUCCUAUUUUGUUGGUUUCUAGGAUUGACGUA
rnacentral:rRNA from 1 species